AUGGGAAAUGCUGCCAUGUGUAAGGUGUGUGGCUCGGACAAGGGCCUGAGGACGACGGCGAGUCUGUCUAACCUGGAGCAGAACGCCUGGCCCGACUAUUACUGCGAAGAGCAUUUUCCUGGACAGCCUACAUUGAUGCUGUCGGACAGUAACACCAGUUUCCUGCGAGCAGCAAGGGCAGGAAACAUCGAUAAGGUUUUGGAAUAUCUGAAAGGAGGAGUCGACAUCAGCACCUGCAAUCAGAAUGGUCUCAAUGCUCUUCACCUGGCAGCCAAAGAGGGUCACAUAGAUCUGGUCCAGGAGCUGCUGGAUCGAGGAGCGUCGGUGGAUUCAGCCACAAAAAAAGGAAACACAGCUCUCCACAUAUCUUCUCUAGCCGGUCAGGCUGAAGUGGUGAAGAUCCUGGUCAAACGGGGAGCCGAUAUCAACGCACAGUCUCAGAAUGGAUUCACUCCUCUGUACAUGGCUGCUCAGGAGAAUCACCUGGAUGUGGUACGAUAUCUGCUUGAGAACGGAGGAAACCAGAGCACAGCUACAGAGGAUGGCUUCACCCCUCUGGCCAUCGCCCUCCAGCAGGGCCACAACCAGGUGGUUUCUGUCCUACUGGAGAACGACACUAAAGGAAAAGUCCGUCUUCCUGCUCUGCACAUCGCCGCCCGAAAGGACGACACCAAGUCAGCCGCCCUGCUGCUUCAGAAUGACCACAACGCUGACGUCCAGUCGAAGAUGAUGGUCAAUAGGACUACUGAGAGCGGAUUCACCCCCCUCCAUAUCGCUGCCCACUAUGGGAACGUCAACGUGGCCACGCUCCUGCUGAACCGAGGGGCGGCGGUCGACUUCACAGCAAGGAAUGGGAUCACUCCCCUACAUGUGGCGUCCAAACGUGGAAACACGAACAUGGUGGGUCUGCUGCUGGACCGAGGAUCACAGAUUGAUGCUAAAACACGGGAUGGCCUGACUCCUCUUCACUGUGCAGCUCGGAGCGGACAUGACUCUUCUGUGGAGCUGCUGCUGGAGAGAGGAGCGCCUCUGCUGGCCAGGACAAAGAACGGGCUGUCUCCGCUUCACAUGGCGGCACAAGGCGACCACGUUGAGUGUGUCAAACACCUGCUGCAGCACAAGGCUCCCGUUGAUGAUGUCACGCUGGAUUACCUGACGGCGCUGCAUGUGGCGGCUCACUGUGGACACUACAGAGUCACCAAACUGCUGCUGGACAAGAGGGCCAACCCCAACGCCAGAGCGCUGAAUGGCUUCACUCCGCUGCACAUCGCCUGCAAGAAGAACCGAGUCAAAGUGAUGGAGCUGCUGGUCAAAUAUGGAGCCUCCAUCCAGGCCAUCACUGAGUCUGGUUUGACUCCCAUCCAUGUCGCCGCCUUCAUGGGCCACCUGAACAUCGUCCUGCUGCUGCUGCAGAACGGAGCCUCGCCAGACGUCAGCAAUAUCCGUGGAGAAACAGCGUUACACAUGGCAGCCCGGGCGGGACAGGUGGAGGUGGUCAGAUGUCUGCUGAGGAAUGAAGCAUUGGUUGAUGCCAGAGCACGGGAGGACCAGACUCCGCUCCACAUCGCGUCCCGUCUGGGUAAAACAGAGAUCGUCCAGCUGCUGCUGCAGCACAUGGCUCAUCCCGAUGCUGCCACCACCAAUGGUUACACCCCCCUUCACAUCUCUGCCCGGGAGGGGCAGGUGGAGACGGCAUCUGUCCUGCUGGAGGCUGGAGCAUCACACUCACUGGCCACAAAGAAAGGCUUUACUCCUCUGCAUGUGGCCGCUAAGUAUGGAAGCCUGGAUGUAGCCAAACUUCUGCUGCAGCGUCGUGCUCCGCCUGAUUCUGCAGGAAAGAACGGCCUCACCCCACUCCAUGUCGCAGCACAUUAUGAUAACCAGAAGGUGGCGCUCCUGCUUUUGGACAAAGGAGCGUCCCCGCACACUAUGGCCAAGAACGGCUACACUCCCCUCCACAUCGCGGCGAAAAAGAACCAGAUGGAAAUUGCGACGGUGCUACUGCAGUUCGGAGCAGAGACAAACAUCCUGACCAAGCAGGGCGUCACGCCGCUCCACCUGGCCUCUCAGGAGGGACACGCUGACAUGGCCGCUCUGCUUAUCAGCAAGGGAGCGCAGAUCAACACCGCCACUAAGAGCGGUCUGACUGCUCUCCAUCUGGCAGCUCAGGAGGAUAAAGUGUCCGUCGCAGAGAUUCUGGCGAGGAACGGAGCCAACCUGGACCAGCAGACCAAAUUGGGAUACACUCCGCUAAUUGUAGCAUGUCACUAUGGAAACGCCAAGAUGGUCAGCUUCCUGCUUCAGAAUGGAGCCAGCGUGAACUCCAAGACCAAGAACGGAUACACUCCCCUCCACCAGGCAGCACAGCAGGGAAACACACACAUCAUCAACGUACUGCUGCAGAACGGCGCCAAGCCCAACGCCAUCACUGUGAAUGGAAACACGGCUCUGGGCAUCGCUCGGCGGCUCGGCUACAUCUCUGUGGUCGACACACUGAGGGUUGUCACUGAGGAGAUCAUCACCACAACGACGACGGUGACGGAGAAACACAAGCUGAACGUGCCAGAGACCAUGACUGAAGUGCUGGAUGUGUCUGAUGAAGAGGUACUCAGAGCCAUUGAUGAUGGCGUUAUGUCAGACGACCCUCUGGAUGAUGACGGUGACGAUACAAUGACUGGUGACGGAGGAGAGUACCUGAGGGCCGAGGACCUGCGGGAGCUUGGGGAUGACUCCCUGCCGGGACAGUACCUGGAUGGAAUGAAUUACCUCCGCUUCAGCCUGGAGGGGGGGCGCACCGACAGUCGAAUGCAAAGCUCUGACAGGUCGUUCACUCCCACCCACCACAGCUACUACUCCCCCAAACAUGAAGGUAUCAUGGACGAGAUGCUCAGCUAUCAGGUUUCAUCACUUGCCAGGGAGAACGAGCGCGAUUCAUACCGGCUGAGUUGGGGCACAGAGCACCUUGACAAUGUCGCCCUCUCCUCCAGCCCCAUUCACUCAGGCCAAUCCUCUCCGUGCCAUGAUCAUGGAGACCACAGCAGCUUUCUGGUCAGCUUCAUGGUGGACGCCAGAGGCGGAGCCAUGCGUGGUUGCCGACACAACGGCCUACGCAUCAUCAUCCCACCCAGGAAGUGCAGCGCGCCCACUCGUGUCACGUGUCGACUGGUGAAAAGGCACCGCCUGGCCACCAUGCCCCCGAUGGUGGAGGGCGAGGGUCUGGCUAGCAGACUGAUCGAGGUUGGGCCAUCUGGAGCUCAGUUCCUUGGUAAACUCCACCUCCCCAGUGCUCCCCCUCCUCUUAAUGAGGGCGAGAGUUUGGUUAGCAGAAUCCUGCAGCUCGGCCCGCCGGGGACAAAAUUCCUCGGUCCUGUGAUCGUGGAGAUCCCUCACUUUGCUGCUCUGAGAGGUAAAGAGAGAGAGCUGGUGAUCCUGAGGAGUGAGACCGGAGAGAGCUGGAAGGAGCAUCACUGUGAGCACACGCAGGAGGAGCUGAACCAGAUCCUCAACGGCAUGGACGAGGAGCUGGACACGCCAGAGGAGCUGGAGAGGAAACGCAUCUGCCGUAUCAUCACAAGAGAUUUCCCACAAUACUUUGCGGUAGUGUCGCGCAUAAAGCAGGACAGUAAUCUGAUCGGACCUGAAGGAGGGAUCCUGAGCAGCACUGUCGUUCCUCAGGUUCAGGCCGUGUUCCCUGAAGGAGCGCUCACCAAGAGGAUCAGAGUCGGACUGCAGACUCAGCCGGUGAACGUGGACAUAGUGAGGAAGAUCCUUGGAAACAAAGCCACCUUCAGCCCCAUCGUCACCCUGGAGCCCCGCAGGAGGAAGUUCCAUAAACCCAUCACCAUGACCAUCCCAGUUCCCAAGAGCAGCACCGACCCAAUCCUAAAUGGCUUUGGAGGGGACACGCCCACUUUACGGCUGCUCUGUAGUAUCACUGGUGGAACCACGCCUGCUCAGUGGGAGGAUAUAACCGGAACAACUCCGUUAACGUUUAUCAAUGACUGCGUCUCCUUCACUACAAAUGUGUCUGCUAGAUUCUGGCUCAUCGACUGUCGACAAGUCCAGGAAUCGGUCAACUUCUCCACUCAGGUGUACCGAGAGAUCAUCUGCGUCCCCUACAUGGCUAAGUUUGUCAUCUUCGCAAAGACACAUGACCCCAUCGAGGCCCGUCUGCGCUGCUUCUGCAUGACAGAUGACAAGAUCGACAAAACUCUGGAGCAGCAGGAGAACUUCACCGAGGUGGCUCGAAGCCGAGACGUAGAGGUGCUGGAAGGCAAACCGAUCUAUGCAGACUGCUUUGGAAACCUUGUCCCCCUCACCAAAAGUGGCCAGCAUCAUCUCUUCAGCUUCUUCGCCUUUAAGGAGAACAGACUCGCUCUCUUCAUCAAAAUCAGAGACAACACUCAGGAGCCGUGUGGCCGUCUGUCGUUUAUGAGAGAACCCAGAAACUACCGGUCACUCACACAAAACGCCAUCUGUAACCUCAACAUCACACUCCCCUCAUACAACAAGGAUUCAGAUUCAGACCAAGAGCAAGAAGAAGAGGCCAGCAGAACACAGGAGAAAUAUGAAGAGACGGAGACAUCAGUCCUGAAAUCAGAGCUGAUUCGAGAACCAGACCUCCUAUCCGACGUGUCAGAGAUGAAACAGGACUUGAUAAAAAUGACUGCCAUCUUGACUGCAGACUCGACAGAGAAAGCGCCUUCGUUAAGAGGGUGUGGUCUAGAGAAAGGGACUGAGGAUGUUUCUGGAGAGCCGUUAGAGAUAAUGGAGAAGGACUUAGAGAAAGUCAAAGAGGACCUAGAGAAAGUCAGUGAGAUACUGAGGAGUGGAACGUAUGAGGGUGAGGCUGCAGCCGAGUUAGCCAAAGCAGCUAGAAUGGCAGAGGAGUGGGUUCUUCUCUCAGACAGCGAGAUAGAGGAGGCCAAAAGGAUGGCAAAAUUAGAAACUCAAGAGCCCGUCUUACGGGAAAGUAGAUCAAACAGAGGGGCUCCCAGACCUAAAGCCAUAAAGGACAGUGGUGACCUUAAAGAAUACCUCCUGGAUGCACCAGUCGGCUCCAAAACGAAAGCUAAAAAAGAGCCCGUCGUUCAAGAAAGAUUCACUGAUGUUGUUCUGCGGAAAAGUACAAAACCCACCACUCCAACCAAAGUGCAGGACAAAACAGCUGCUGGUGAUGUUAAAAAGCCAGCCAGAAGGAAGGGGAAGGACCAGGUAGAGGAGACGACAGAGGCUGGUGCUCUGCUCAGUGUGCCUACAGCCCCAACCCCGAAAUCACCCGUGUCCCCGGUGGUUGAAGAAACUCCCAUUGGGUCAAUAAAGGACAAAGUCAAAGCCUUACAACAGAAAGUAGAGGCGGAGCAAAAGAGCAAAAAGGUCACUGGAAGCAAGCCUUCACAAUUGCCUGUUAUCAAACCUUCUCCAAAAGCCAAAGAAAGCCCUAAAUCAAAGCCGGGCCCGCCUAAAUCCCCCAAAGCUGAAACUGAAAAACUUGAGGAGACCAUGUCAGUCAAGGAACUGAUGCAAGCCUUCCAAACGGGGCAGGACCCCUCAAAGAGAAAGUCGGGGCUCUUUGAGCUCAAAACAUCCACAGAGAAAACAACAAAAUCAGAAACCAUCCAGUCUAAAUCAAUGGCCAAAGCACCAACCACACAUGUCUCUGCAGAAAAAGAACUGUCUCUGGAUUCUAAACCUCGCAAGAAAGCUGCUGAGACUGCUCAGCAGGACAAAGAGAAAGAAGUCAAGCCAGACGCUGGUGCCCGCUCAGAGCUCACUGAAACUGUAGACUUUGGAAACAGUGGCCUUGAUGACAGCUCUGACAGCUCCAAACAUGAGGGUGUGGCGGAGUCACUAAGUGCCAGUUCUGGAGAUGCAACCCCUCAAAUGAGCUCAGAGGAAAGCUUCAAACAUGAGGGUCUUGCCACUCCAGAAACAAGCCCAGAGAGUCUUUGCCUUUCUCCCAAAACUGGACAGCAGACAUCUACAGCUUCCACUAAAGAAAGUAAAGAAACAGAGAAGUCUGCAGACUCUGGUGUUGGGACCACUGGUGACCAAAAGUCUACCGAACUGACCCUCCCUGUCUCUCCCAGCAAGGCCGCUGAAGACCAAGCUACAAGUGAGUCUUUAUCUCUUAAGAGGAGCGAGCCUAUGCCGUCAAAACCUCAAAAGCUUACAAAGAGAGUUUCAGAGACUGUAGAAGGUUUUCUUAGCGAUGAUGAUAGCCCAGAUCAUCAGCUAGAAUUGCCUUUAGUUGGUUCUCCAACCUCUAGAUCCUCUUUUCAGCGUCAUGAAAGCUUAGAGCUGGCCUUAAAGCAAGACUCAGAUGCCCUCAGUCCUUUAGCUGAUGACUCUUUGACAAUCAGCCACAGAGACUCUCUAGAUGGUAGUCCUCUCAUGGAAGAAAACUCCUCCCAUAAGUCCCCAGAUUCCAUUGAACCUAGUCCAACCAAGGAAUCCCCCCCUCAUGACUCAUUAGAGAGCAGUCCUGUAGAGCAAAAAAGCCACCCAUCCUUCCCAUCAACUCUAGGUCCAUCUAGUAAACCCUCUAUCCAUCCAGAGCCUUCCAAAGCAGCAGAGUUCCCCCAAGAUGCUUUGCGUGGUAGGCUGCUUCGAGACCAUGAGGCUAGUGCUGAUGAUGACAGUUGUGAGCAGACGUCUCAGAUGACAAGUUCGGCAGGUUUGCAUGAAGGAUCCUACAGCAAAGAGGUCAAGAGCACAACAGCCAGUAUCACUUCAGAGGGACCUCAGUCUGUCUCAGACCAGCAACACUCAAAAUCCAAAGUGGAAACAGCACAAGAACAGAGGAUCCCUCAAUCUUUAAAAGCUGAUAAAGACAGCACUGCGAAAAAGGCUGCUGUAACGCCAAGCUCUGCAAACAGGACUGAUGAGCAAAAGGAGGAGAGUUUGAGAAUGUCAAGAGAAACCAAGGGAGAUACCAAGGACGGUCAAGAGUCAGGUGGUAAACAAGGUAAUAACGUGACAGAUGAAGUGAAAGGAGACAAAAAGGGGCAAACAGGAGCAUCAUCAGCAGCUGGACUCAGUGCAACUGUUGCCUCAGGUAAAACAACUGAAAAGUGCAAAACAGACGUCUGCCUCUAUGAUGACGCAGAAGAGGACGAUGAGGCACAGGAACCUCCAAGGACUGAAUCAAAAGGCGUCACUGCAAGGGUCGACACCGACUCAUGGUCGGCUAUGAGGGAGGACGAUGACACUUUUGCAGCUCGAGUCAAAGAAGAGGAGCAGAAGAUACUGAAUCUGGUAGUGGACCGUCAAUCUAUGCAAGCCACCCCGGACACAACACCCGGUAGAACGCCAACAGAGGAGAGCACGCCAACCAGCGAGCCUAACCCCUUUCUUUUCCAAGAAGGGAAGCUCUUUGAGAUGACUCGGAGUGGUGCGAUCGACAUGACUAAGAGGAGCUAUGAGGAAGAGGGGGCUGGCUUUGCCUUUUUCCAAAUAGGUGAUCAACCUGUAGAGGAGCCUGCUGUAGAAGAGGCCAGGCAAGAAGGUGUUAGACCAGCAGCAGAACCUGAAGUUGGCCUCAAUCUAACAUUAGAGAUUAAAAAUGAAGCUGAGGCUGAGAAACCAAAAGAAAAAACUGACCCUCAGAUUCAGUCUCCACCUGAAGGUGAUCAGCAGACCUCUAAAGCUGAUACCUCAAAAUCUAAAAUCCCUAAAAUGGGCAUAGCAGCGUCAGCCAAGCCUACAAAGAAAGAUCAGACAUCCCCAGAAAGUUUAGAUGCUAAGACUGAGAAAAAGGUAGAUGAAGCAUGCUUAGACCUAGAGACGAGUUCUUCUGACCAGUUAAUUACAAACGUGCAGACGGCAGAAAGCACAGUCACUAGAUCAGUUUAUCCUGAGCAGGGACAUGAGUCCUCUGAUUCAUCUCCAGAGGAAACACAGUCAGUCAUAGAGGCCCCAAAACAAACCAGCAAGACCAAACAAAGUGCUCCCGGUAGUGUUAAAAAGACACCCGCCAAAACACAGGCUAAGCCUGCGUCUGCAGGUCGAGGUAAAUCCACAAUCCCCUCUCCAUCUCAAUCAACAACUCUUAAAAAAGAGCCCUCCUUUACUUCAGAAUCUAAAUCGAGAAUCCCCAUCAAAGCUAGCACCCCUAAGUCUGAGUCUAAGGUCAAACAAGCUGAAUCCACCCAAGACAAAAAACUGAAAGUCCCGGUCAAAAAGGAUCCAAGAAGAAAAUCUGAGACAGAUGCAGGUCCCUCUGUCGAUGUCAAAACCAAGACAUCUUCUCCCAAAGCCAAGAGCUUCUGUGAGGGAGAGUCUACCAGGCCGUCUGCUAAAAAAGACAGCCGCCCGUUGAGCGCCGAGUCACCAAAAUCUAAAAGCUUCCAGUCCAGAUUGCCAGUGCGAGGAAAAAGCGGUCAGACCUCUCCUUUAACGACACCGACUAAAGAGAAAAGCGAGGCCCAGAAACAGUCCAUUGAGUGCUUUGAAGAGAUAGCUGACGAAGCAGCGAAACUAGUGGCCAGGUUGGCUCAGGCAGAGACAGAGAAAGAAGCAGCGGCGGCCAACUCAGACGAUGAGAGCAGUCUCAUCGAUCCAUCAAUCAUAGAAAGAGAAACUUUCCCUGAGAUGCAGUUCCCUCCCUCAGGAGACGUCUUUCCCAUUAGACCACUGUGGGACGACCCUGUUGAGACACAGAUGCAGCGAAUCCCAGACGAUAAAGUCCAAAGUCAAGUAGAUCCACAGGAUGAAGCAGAGAGAAAGGAGCAACGGUUGGCCAUUAUAGCCGACCAUCUGGGCUUCAGCUGGACAGAGCUGGCGCGGGAACUGGAGUUUAGUGAGGAGAGAAUUAACCUGAUCAGGAUUGAAAACCCAAACUCACUUCAAGACCAAAGUCAUGCCCUUCUGAAGCUCUGGGCUGAGAGGGAGGGGAAACACGCCACAGAAACAACGCUGAUCAAGAGACUGACUAAGAUCAACCGUAUGGACAUAGUUCACCUCAUCGAAACCAAGAUCAUCAAGUCUCAUCAGGAUGACACCUCAUCACAUACCUAUGCAGAAAUUGAGAGGACCAUAGCGCUGGAUCAUAGUGAAGGUUUCUCUGCCCUUCAUGAAGACAUCGACAGCCCCAGGCCAGGCAGGCGUACGGAGGCUACGCGUAGGAGUCCAGGAUCUGGACAAGACGUUCCCAUGGUGUCAGCAGAGGACCUUUCUUCCAGUUUGUCAUCACUUGAGACGACGGGACGAUCAGAGACAGAUUCCACGGCCAGCGGCCUUCUCAGAAAUGCCCAGAAAGAGAAACUACAGAAAGAGAUGGAGACAGCAUACUCAUCACAAAGAGUAUAUGAGGAACUGACAGACACGGUACACACAGGCAGUUACAAACAAAACAGUCGACUGAAAUGAGACCAUCUUCUCCUGAUUCAGCAGUAUCUGGAGACGACUUCAGAGGUGACUCACCAAUACCAGACUUCAAACCAGCAAUGACUGAUCCAGUUGCCAGUGCUUAUCAUAGAUCGUCGUCUCCUGAAUCAGCAGUUUCUGAUGUUGAAGAUGGAUUAUCAAGCAUAGAUGUAAGCAUUUUCCAGCAGAGACCUGAAAGUAGACCGUCAUCCCCAGGAUCCGUAAAUGAAAAUGGGCCACUUUCCCCCGAGUCGCCCAUUCCUAUGUUUGGACAGGCUUUGCCUGAGUUCUCAGUUUGGCCCACAGAUGAGCGGUCCUCAUCACCUGUUUCAGUUAGUUCUGAUGUAGAGUAUGGGUUGGUGUCUUCUACAGAACAGUCGACUGAAAUGAGACCAUCUUCUCCUGAUUCAGCAGUAUCUGGAGACGACUUCAGAGGUGACUCACCAAUGCCAGAUUUCAAACCAACAAUGACUGAUCCAGGUGCCAUUGCUUAUCAUAGAUCAUCUUCUCCUGAAUCAGCAGUUUCUGAUGUUGAAGAUGGAUUAUCAAGCAUAGACGUAAGCAUUUACCAGCAGAGACCUGAAAGUAGACCAUCAUCCCCAGGGUCCGUAAUUGAAAAUGCGCCACUUUCCUCUGAGUCGCCCAUUCCCCAAUUUGGAGUGACUUUGCCUGAGUUCUCUGUUUGGCCAAUACAGGAAAGGUCUUCAUCACCUGCCUCAGUCAGUUCUGAUUUAGAGUAUGAGGCGAUAUCUUUCACUGAGCAUUCUUCUGAAAUGAGACCAUCUUCUCCUGAUUCAGCAGUCUCUGGAGAUGACUACAGAACUGACUCACCGAUACCAGACUUCAAACCAGGAAUGCCUGAAUCACUUGCCAUUACUUAUCAUAGAUCCUCUUCACUAGAGUCAGCAGUUUCUGAUGUUGAAUAUGUGCAAUCAAGGGUAGACAUAUGGGAGCAGAGACCUGACUCACCAGAAGCACAAGUAUCAGAAACUGAAGUCAGACCACUGGGUGAUAGCACAACAUCAACCCUAAAGGCAAUAAGGGUGCCGGUGUAUAGGCUUGUUUACGAUGCAGAUCUUUGGAAGCUUAUUUCUCGAAUACGUGACCCUCAAUAUGUUGGGGAGACUUUUGCAAGUAAGACUGGUGUUUUUGAGUAUGCUGGGACAAGAAUUGAGUAUGUUCAGGAGGAUUCAGAUGUGACAGCGGAGGAGACAGAGGAUGAUGGGAAGUUGCCACCAAAUAUUGAGGAGGAACCCGUCACUCCCAUGGAUGAAGACAGGCAACUAGUGAACGGUGCAAGAUUUAAAACAAAUCAGCUGAUAAGUCAAAUAAAUGACCCACAUUAUACAAGAGACCCGGUUGCAGGAUUAGCUGAAGAUUUAGAAGAUGCUGAGACUUUUGGUGAAGAACACAUUCAGCUUGCAUCAGAUGCAGAACAGAAAGGAAGAUCUAUGUCACCCGAUUCUGAGGCAGAAUAUGUUCCACUAUCACCUGAAGAUCUGAAGUUGUUGAGUGUCCUGAGAUCUGAUUCCCUAGAGAGCAGGGACUUUGUUGAAGAGAAUAGAUCUUUAAGUCCAGACUCCCCAGUUCCUCAAUUUUCUGCCCCGAUUUCUGAACCUGUCACAGGAUAUCAGAGGGCACCAUCCUCCGAACCUGAAUCUGAUUCAGAACUUGACCAUUUAGAUUUUACUUUACAGACUGGGUCAAGGUUAUCAUCUCCUGAAUCAGAUGCCCAACUGAGUAAACAUAGACCCCUCUCUCCUGACUCACCAGUGCCCGACUUCAGGCCAGAGUUGCAGCAUCCUCUUACCUCAGUGACUCGCAGUCGAUCAUCCUCACCUGAAUCAGGCACCUCAGAUCUUGAGGAUUUAUCUGUAUAUUUACCAUCAGACUUUAGAGUUCAAGAAAGACCAGAUUCUCCUGAUUCAGUGACCUCAGAAACUAACUUAAGGCCACUCUCGCCAGAGUCAGACACAGAAUUUAGACCAAUGUCACCUGAGUCAGCAAUGCUAAUGUCAGAGUUAAGAGCAUCAUCUCCUGAUUCAGCAUCAUCUGUUAAUGAGUUUAGGGCCUUGUCUGCUGAUUCACCUAUACCUCAGUUUGAGCAAGAUAUGAUAUCAGAAUUUGUAGCAUUUGGAAGCAGACCAUCUUCACCUUUAUCUUUAUUAUCAGAUGCUGAAUUGGAUGUAACAGAUAUGGACUUUAUCGAAGAUCAGGAGCGAUACUUAACACCCGAUUCUGAAUUUGAGUUCAGAGCACUUUCUCCUGACUCACCGAUACCUGAAUAUAGACCAAAUCUACUUAGUCCGACUCCACGGACUGCUGAAUGUCGAUCCAUUUCCCCUGAAUCAGUUUGGUUUUCUGAUAUAGACUACAUGGAUGAGUUGUUUGACUUAGAAGCUGAUGAUAACAGACCUUCAUCACCGGAUUCAGCAGCCUAUGGAGACGAAGGCAAGUCCUUGCCACCAGAUUCACCUGUACCGCAAUUUAGACCAAAAGAAGCUGAGCGUUUUCCAUCUUUUGUUGGGUUCAGGCCAUCGUCCCCAAUAUCUCCAACUACUUCAGAUAUUGAGUAUGCACCUUCUAUUAGUUCCCCACUUGAUACUGAAGCUAGACCACUGUCCCCGGAGUCUUUAGAGCUUGAAAAUGAAGAUCGACCCCUGUCGCCUGAUUCUGAAGCAGAGUACAGGCCUUUCUCGCCAACAUCACUGAUGUUUAUGUCAAAUUUCAGAUCAUCCUCUCCUGAUUCGACUGGCUCUGUUAAUAAAUUCAGAGCUCUGUCACCAGACUCUCCAAUUCCAGAGUUUAGACAAGUACUACAAGAAUCCUUAAGCACAAACAUAGAAUGGAGAUCCUCUUCCCCAGAGUCCAUGUGUUCAGAUUUGGAAGCAGAACAAGACUUGGACUUUCCAGUAUUUGAAGAUCGUCCAUCCUCUCCUGAAUCAUUAACAUCUGUGAGUAAAUACAGGCUUUCUCCUGAUUCUCCAAUACCAGACUUCAGAAAGACUUUACUAAAGUUACAUAAAGAUUUUACUGCUCACAGAUCAUCCUCACCUGAAUCCGCAGAUUCAGAUGAUGAAUAUAGACCUCUUAUUUCACAGUUUGAUUCCAUAGAGAGGGCAGAAUCUCCACAAUCUAGAUUGUCUGAUUUUGACCGUAGAUGCUUGUCUCCAGACUCUCCACUACCUGAGUACACCACUGGUUUACCCAGUGUGGAAAGGGUAAGAUAUGGGUCAAUAUCACCUGAAUCAGACUAUAUAGAUGAGGAUCUUGAGACAGACCUGUGUAUACCCUGGCUUUUUGAGAACAGAGCAUCUUCUCCUGGAUCAGUUGUGUCCAAUGAAGCGUUUAGACGUCUUUCACCAGUUUCACCCAUUCCUGAAUUCGUGCGGGAGCUUCCUUUUUUCAUGGUGGCUCACUUUGCUUCAAGGUCUUGUUCGCCUGCCUCAGAAAGUUCAGAAAUUGAAUAUGCACCUUUGAUUUCACAAAUGUUUGAUUUUGAGGAAAGACGAGACUCCGCUCAGUCAGUGAUGUCUGAUUUUGGUCAUAGAUGUUUGUCUCCAGACUCUCCUGUACCCGAGUACACCUUGAGCUUACUAGCCAGCGAAAGAGUAAGGUAUCGCUCUACAUCACCUGACUCUGAAUAUGUAGAUGAAGACUUAGAGACAGACUUGUGUAUCCCCUGGCUUUUUGAGGACAGAGCAUCAUCUCCAGGUUCAACUGCAUCGAAUGAAGAGUUAAGACCUCUUAGACCAGAUUCACCCAUUCCCCAGUUUACACCGAAACUCCACGAUUCCUACGAUUCUUAUGUGGCCUUAAGGUCUUGUUCACCUGUAUCAGAGGCUUCAGAAAUAGAAUAUGCACAUCUGACUUCAGAAAUCUUUGAUUUUGAGGAAAGACCAGAUUCUCGCCAAUCAGUGUUGUCAAAAUAUGAUCAUAGAUGCUUGUCCCCAGACUCUCCGCUCCCUCAGUACACCACAAGUUUACAAACUAUGGAAAGGGUAAGGUAUCGAUCUACAUCACCUGAAUCUGAAUUUGUAGAUGAAGACUUAGAGACGGACUUGUGUAUCCCAUGGCUUUUUGAGGAAAGAGCAUUGUCUCCAGAUUCAGUUGCAACCAAUGAAAUGUUAGGACGUCUUUUGUCUGACUCACCCAUUCCUGAAUUUGCACAUGAACCAUAUGAGUCCACCCUGCCCUACAUGCACUUUAGGUCCACUUCACCUGAGUCUGUGUUGUCAGAUUGGGACAUUGAUUUAUCGUUGUCAACUUUCUCAGUAAGCAGACCUACAUCUCCUGAGUCUUUAGAAUCAACCAGGCUUUCACCUGAUUCACCCAUACCCCACUUUACCCAACCAGUUUUUGAGCUACCUGAGACCAUGUUUGGAUGCAGGUCAGCAUCUCCUGAGUCUACCUGUUCAGAUGUAGAGUACGUUGUCCUAAGUCUUGGAUCCUUUGUCUGUGACCACAGACUCUCUUCACCUAGCUCAGGAGGAUCUAUGGAUGAAUAUCGGGCUCUGUCUCCAGAUUCACCCAUUCCUGAUUACACACCUCAGAAUGUCAUUGUGAAUGUUGGGUUUAGAUCAACAUCUCCUGAGUCAGUUGAAUCAGACAUCGAGUAUGCUUUGAGCGAGCUUUUGGUUUCCAUGAGUUUUGAUGGCGACGAUAGACCAGAUUCUCCCGAAUCAGUAGGGUCGGAAGUACAAGAGAGGCCACUAUCAGUUGAGUCCCUACCAGAAUACAAACCAUUGUCACCUGCAGAGUUGAAGUUUCUCAGGAACAUCAGAUCAGUAUCUCCAGAAUCUACUCAAUCACUAGAUGGACACAGGAAGUUAUCUCCAGACUCACCUUUACCUUGGUUUACACAAAAUGUUCUUGAGACCAUGAAAUUUGAGACACGCUUUGGGUGUUUGUCCCCAGAAUCAGUAGUUUCAGAUAAGGAGUAUGGUUCUGAGUCAUAUGACCUAGAAGUCGCAGACAUGACACCAUUAUCCCCCCAGUCAGAGAGGUCAGACGAUGAACCCAGAGCCCAGCCUCCAGAAUCACCAAUACCUGAUUAUACAAGGGCAUUUGUGGAAAAUAUCACGACUUGGAGAGAUUUAUCACAGGGUGAAUCUUCAGAUUCAGAGGAUCUGUCACAAACUUUUGACCAGUUUUGUCUGGAAUACAGGCAAGCAUCACCGGAGUCCAUAGAAUCAGAAGAAGAAAUAUUACAGUUGGAAUCUAAAUCUGAGUUGAACGAUCUGACUGCAACUGAAGCAAGCAUUGAAAGCACCAUUAUUUCUGCAGAAAUGGAAGCAGCAUCAGCAGAGGAAGCCGUAAUCAUGGAGUAUAAUCUCAUUUAUGAAGCAGAGCUCUGGAAGCUGAUCUCUCAAGUGCGAGAUCCUCAAUAUGCAGGAGAAACGUAUGCAAGUAAGACAGGAUUUAUGCAAUUUAUUGGUAGCACGGUAGCACAUGAUGAGCUAGAUAGUGUAGUUAAAGAUUCACAUGAGCAAGAUGCUUAUGCUACAGUACCACCUGUGGAGGAAGCGCAACCAUUGACUAGAACAGACAUAGAAACAGUCGACAUUAGUAGCACAUCUGAGGUAGAAGUCAUCUCCAGUGAACCUGCUCCAGAGUCACCUCCACCAAUGAUUGAACCUGUUCCAUCUUCUGGAGGAGCUCCAUACAGACAGGCUGAGUACGCGUUUGAAAAACCUUCCUCUGAUGAUGAUCGGGUGGUUGUAUCAGUUCCUGACGCAGUAGAUGACGAUGUAUGCGGCUCACCAGAUUCUCUGGCUGAGUUUAGACCCAUGUCCCCUAGUUCUGUCAUGUUAUUCGAAGCAAGAGCAUCGUCUCCUGAAUCUGCAGUAUCAGUCAACGAGUUAAGGCAACUCUCUCCAGAUUCACCCUUACCUCAGUUUACAAUGGCGUUGCCAGAAUGUGUGUCAUUCCUGAGAUCAUCUUCAUCCUCACUUGCAACUCUAGCGUCAGAUAUAGAAUAUAUGCCAGAUUUAUCUGAAAAUGUGGAAUCUCAGAGAAGGGCAUCCUCACCUGAAUCCAUGCCUGAGUUCAGUGAGAAUAGGUCACUGUCUCCAGACUCUCCCAUCCCUCAGUUUUCAGUAUCAGUGGAUGACUACACCACUAUACAUAGGUCAUCAUCACUUGAGCUAAUGGAUUCUGAUUCAGAGUGUGAGUUAGUGGUCACAUCGUCAAGAGUGGCUGAUACUGAUAGACCAUCCUCACCUGAAUCCAUAGCCUCUAUCAGUGAGUUCAGACAUCUGCUGCCUGACUCUCCAGUUCCUGAGUUUAUGAGGAUACUGUCGUCAUAUUUCAUGGAUGCUCCCUACGUAGAUAGGUCCUCUUCACCCCUGUCCUUUACAUCUGACUCUGAGUUUGUAGCUUUACCUAUUGACUGUUGGAUUGAUGACAGUCCGAGGCCGAUGAGCCCUCAAAGUGUUGACUCUGAGGAUGAGUUAGACUUUAGUUCAGAGAGAUUUGAUAAGUUUGUCUCUGAACAAGAAUUUCUGAGUCAUGGGACACCUGCUUUAUUGAACGAUCAGUCUAUAUCAUUGCACGGCAAAAAAACAAUGGAUGUUUCACCACUGCUGUUUAAAACUGAAGAGACUGACUUCACAGAAGGACAAGAAAAUCCAGAUUUGCAAAAAACUGUUGGACCACAACCAGACUUGAAAGUGGAAACUUUAGAAACUGCUGUUUUUGUGGAAGACCUUCAAGAGAAACUAUCAUCAGUUCAAGAUGAAAAGAAUCAAGAAAAGGAAAUCCUAGACACCAAUAUGGAAGAACUGAAGGGCAAGACAGACCCACUGAGGGAUCAUCAUCAGAUAUAUGAAGAAGCAGAGCUUUAUACAGACACUGAAGUGCAGAGUGAUCUUUUGCCUGCUUCAACAGCAGAACAAGAUUCCAGUAAAAUAGAUGAGCCAAUCACAUCAGUUCUUCUACAGCUACCC